rnacentral:rRNA from 1 species
AGAGUUUGAUCCUGGCUCAGAAUCAACGCUGGCGGCGCGCCUAACACAUGCAAGUCGAGCGAGAAAGGGAGCAAUCCUGAGUAAAGCGGCGCACGGGUGAGUAACACGUGGAUGAUCUACCCUAUGGUGGGGAAUAACCUUGGGAAACCGAGGCUAAUACCGCAUAAGUUCGAGAGAAGAAAGCCGAAAGGCGCCAUUGGAGGAGUCCGCGGCCGAUUAUCUAGUUGGUGGGGUAAGAGCUCACCAGGGCGACAAUCGGUAGCCGGCCUGAGAGGGCACACGGCCACACUGGCACUGAAACACGGGCCAGACUCCUACGGGAGGCAGCAGUGGGGAAUCUUGCACAAUGGGGGAAACCCUGAUGCAGCGACGCCGCGUGAGUGAUGAAGCCCUUCGGGGUGUAAAGCUCUUUCUGCAGGGACGAUAAUGACGGUACCUGCAGAAGAAGCUGCGGCUAACUACGUGCCAGCAGCCGCGGUAAUACGUAAGCAGCAAGCGUUGUUCGGAAUUACUGGGCGUAAAGAGUGCGUAGGCGGUUUGGCAAGUUUGGUGUGAAAUCUCCCGGCUUAUCUGGGAGGGUGCGCCGAAAACUGCCAGGCUAGAGUGUGGGAGAGGAAAGUGGAAUUCCUGGUGUAGCGGUGAAAUGCUGUAGAUAUCAGGAGGAACACCUGCUG